GCCUUCGUGGUGUAACGGUAGCACACUCGGCGCGUAUUCUAGAGGUCCGGGUUCGAGUCUCAGCGAGAGCA
rnacentral:tRNA from 1 species